rnacentral:rRNA from 1 species
AUUGAACGCUGGCGGCAUGCCUUACACAUGCAAGUCGAACGGCAGCACGGAGCUUGCUCUGGUGGCGAGUGGCGAACGGGUGAGUAAUAUAUCGGAACGUACCCUGGAGUGGGGGAUAACGUAGCGAAAGUUACGCUAAUACCGCAUACGAUCCAAGGAUGAAAGUGGGGGCUCGCAAGACCUCAUGCAUCUGGACGGGCCCAUAUCUGAUUAGCUAGUUGGUGGGGUAAAGGCCCACCAAGGAAUCGAUCAGUAGCUGGUCUGAUAGGACGACCAGCCACACUGGAACUGAGACACGGUCCAGACUCCUACGGGAGGCAGCAGUGGGGAAUUUUGGACAAUGGGGGCAACCCUGAUCCAGCAAUGCCGCGUGAGUGAAGAAGGCCUUCGGGUUGUAAAGCUCUUUUGUCAGGGAAGAAAAGGCUGCAGCUAAUAUCUGCGGCUCAUGACGGUACCUGAAGAAUAAGCACCGGCUAACUACGUGCCAGCCGCCGCAGUAA